rnacentral:lncRNA from 1 species
AGGCCAAUAUCAUAGCCCAAGCUUGCAAGGUGGCAUUCUUCACAGGCUUCGAGAAGUGCAAGUCCAUUAUCCAGGUGCACAUUCCUCCUGACUUCAUCAAGCAUCUUCAAAUCGAUUGUCUGGAUGAGGAUUUACAGGUAGUAUCGUCAGAUAACUGACCGAGAUUUAUAAUGACAUUUCAUUUUUUGGAUGAGGUGGAUAAGAUCGACGCAGCCAUCCAGACCGAGGGCAUCGUCAGUGC